GACGAACGCUGGCGGCGCGCUUAACACAUGCAAGUCGAACGGAAAGGCCUGCUUUCCCUUGUGGAUUGCGGGUACUCGAGUGGCGAACGGGUGAGUAACACGUGAGUGAUCUGCCCCCAACUUGGGUAUAAGCCUGGGAAACUGGGUCUAAUUCCCGAUAGGACUGCAGGGUGGUGCCUGUGGUGGAAAACGAUUUUCUAGUGGUUGGGGAUGAGCUCGCGGCCUAUCAGCGUGUUGGUGGGGUAAUGGCCUACCAAGGCGGCGACGGGUAGCCGGCCUGAGAGGGUGGACGGGCACAUUGAGACUGAGAUAAGGCCCAGACUCCUACGGGAGGCAGCAGUGGGGAAUACUGCACAAUGGGCGGAAGCCUGAUGCAGCGACGCCGCGUGGGGGAUGACGGCCUUCGGGUUGUAAACUCCUUUCGACCGAGAGGAAGCCACCUGGUUGGAAGGGUGGUGACGGUAGUGGUAGAAGAAGCACCGGCUAACUACGUG
rnacentral:rRNA from 1 species